rnacentral:lncRNA from 1 species
AUGACUUCAAGAUCCUCGCAGCAAAGUGCGGGACCGAUCAGCCUCAAGCUCAGCGGACCCGAUGGUUCCCUCAACGAUACCGUCGCUUCCCUCAGCCUUUUCGUCACCAACAGUUUCGACGCUCGUCGAGCUCGAGUCACCACAGUCAGCAACAACAACCUCGCCGCCAGCACCAGGUCCCGAAAGGUCGAGGCAAGAGCGCUACAGCUAUGCCACAACCCCAACGACGGGCCUGACGCCCACUCUCUCGGGGUUUUUUCUACCUUCACUACUACUGUCACUACCAUGCCUUUCCUAAGCUCGGACCAGAACUUUCCUCUCUGCUCUUUCCGCGAUCGCCUAGCUCCUUUCUACCACGAAUGGGAGUCUAUCACCUCAGAUGCCUGGGUUCUCCGCAUUGUCAGAGAUGGCUAUGCCUUGGAAUUCGAAACUUUGCCCCCCAUGGGUCACAUCCUCCACACUGACCCUUCACCGGAGAUAUGCUCCAAGGUCAACUCCCUUCUGGCGAAGGGCGCAAUCCAGCCUUCUCCUUCCGAGCAGGACACUCGAGGUUUCUUCUUGAGAUACUUUACGGUUCCCAAGAGGGGCGGAGGUCUUCGGCCCAUCCUCGACCUGCGAGCCUUAAACCUCUUCAUUCUGCCUUCAAAAUUUCGAAUGGUCUCGGUAGCCUCCAUUCUCCCAAUGCUCCGACACGGAGACUACUUUGCCUCUAUAGACUUACGCGAUGCGUAUUUCCACGUCUCGGUACGCCGAUCUCACAGGCGCUUCCUCUCCUUCAAACUCCUGGGACAGCCUUACCAGUUCACAGUUCUCCCUUUCGGCCUCGUCACGGCCCCAAGGGUCUUCACGAAGGUGGUCGCCGUGGUGGCAGUGCACCUAAGGAAACAGGGCAUAAUGAUCUUUCCUUAUUUGGACGAUUGGAUGAUUGUCGCAUCCGACCCCUCAUCCCUUCAAAGCCACGUUUCUCAGGCUCUCUCUCUUCUACAACGGCUGGGCCUUCAGUUGAAUAUCAAAAAAUCCCAACUCCUCCCGGCCACAGAAAUCCGCUUCAUCAGAGCUCUCUUCAACUCCAUCGCGGAAACCGCCUCCCUACCGAAGGACAGGUUCCUAGCCCUUCAACAACACCUUUCUCUCCUCCUCCGCAACCGCAGGAUCCGAGCCCACUCUGUCCAGGUCCUUCUGGGUCACAUGGCCUCCACGGUCAUGGUCACUCUUUUCGCCAGACUGCGUCUCAGACCUCUUCAAAGAUGGUUUAUAGACUCUUUCAAACCCCAUCGGCAUCCGAGCUCAAUGUUUCUCACGGUACCGGACCAAGUUCGCCUCUCCUUUCGUUGGUGGCAGGACCCAGCGAACGUUUGUGUGGGACUUCCCUUCCAUUCCCCCCUUCCGUCAGUCACCAUCACGACCGACGCCUCCAAUUUUGCAUGA